AGUGGGGAAUCUUGCACAAUGGGCGAAAGCCUGAUGCAGCAACGCCGCGUGCGGGAAGAAGGCCCUAGGGUUGUAAACCGCUUUCAGCAGGGAAGAAAAUGACGGUACCUGUAGAAGAAGGUGCGGCCAACUACGUGCCAGCAGCCGCGGUGACACGUAGGCACCAAGCGUUGUCCGGAUUUAUUGGGCGUAAAGAGCUCGUAGGCGGUUCGGUAAGUCGGGUGUGAAAACUCUGGGCUCAACCCAGAGACGCCACCCGAUACUGCUGUGACUAGAGUGCGGUAGGGGAGCGGGGAAUUCCUGGUGUAGCGGUGAAAUGCGCAGAUAUCAGGAGGAACACCAGUGGCGAAGGCGCCGCUCUGGGCCGUAACUGACGCUGAGAAGCGAAAGCGUGGGGAGCAAA
rnacentral:rRNA from 1 species